GUCAGCACGAGCUAGCAGGAUCUGCAGACAGCACUUCGCGAUGAAGGGCACUUUCGAUGCGGAAUCAUAGGCCAACGUUGAAGCCCUCUGCUUGCACCUCCAUUUUACAUUGAGGGUUAUGGUGUAGGGGUUACCGACCGACCAUCAUCGCUUAUGUCGGAGUUAAGCAAUUAAGACUGAACGGAGGAGGAGACGAGAGUCAAUGCAAUGGAGCCUGAGGAUGACAUCUUCAUCCCUGAAAAGGAGGCCGAGGAGGAAAGAAUGGUUAGUAGAGCAUGCCAAACUGACCCCUGGGUGACAGAGUGUUCCUGUGCUGCAGUGGAGAAGAGGUCCACUGGGACCAUCCCUAAAGAGCUCGAGGACCAGCUAGAUUAAGCUCACAACCAUCAGUGUACAACCGAGUCCUGCCCCUAUACGCCACAGAUG